AUUGGGUUGACCAAAAAGUUCAUUUGGGUUUUUCCCUACUAUCUUAUGCAAAAACCCGAAAGAAAUUUUUGGCCAACCCAAU
rnacentral:miRNA from 1 species